GUCCACGCUGUAAACGAUGAGGACUCGAUGUUGGUAGGGGAACCUAUCAGUAUCAAAGCUAACGCGAUAAGUCUUCCGCCUGGGAAGUACGGCCGCAAGGUUGAAACUCAAAUGAAUUGACGGGGCCGCACAAGCGGUGGAGCAUGUGGUUUAAUUCGAUGCAACGCGAAGAACCUUACCUACCCUUGACAUCCUGCGAAUCCUGAUGAGAGUUGGGAGUGCCGAAAGGAGCGCAGAGACAGGUGCUGCAUGGCUGUCGU
rnacentral:rRNA from 1 species